CAUGCACCGGUGGGGUCCCUUGGCCUGGCCUGAGCCCUCUCAAUCUGGGGCCCCUCAGGGGAUGUUGGAGAGCUGGUGUCGGCUCUAUCCCCACAGGCCAGGCCAAGGGACCCCACCGGUGCAUG
rfam:Myotis brandtii contig237304, whole genome shotgun sequence.